UACGAAGGGGGCUAGCGUUGUUCGGAAUUACUGGGCGUAAAGCGCGUGUAGGCGGGUCUUUAAGUCAGGGGUGAAAUGCCAAGGCUCAACCUUGGAACUGCCUUUGAUACUGGAGACCUUGAGUCCGGGAGAGGUGAGUGGAAUUGCGAGUGUAGAGGUGAAAUUCGUAGAUAUUCGCAAGAACACCAGUGGCGAAGGCGGCUCACUGGCCCGGAACUGACGCUG
rnacentral:rRNA from 1 species